CAGGCUGACGAGCUCUGGCCGGAGCACAUGUGAGGCAGGAACUGGAGCACUAAAGGGGAAGACAGUGAAGAUGGUGAUGAUGGUCUUUGGCCAGGCGUGAGGCCAAGACAGAAUUAAAAGCAGCGCAGGAUGUGAAGCUGUACACUGAGCCGAUAUCGCACACCGCAUGCUGUUUCCUUGUCCCCCCCCCCCAUGUGGCCUGAUAAUUAGACAGGCAGUAUGAAGGUCUCUCUGUGUCUGCUGUCGAUCACAGACUAUACAAAGAGGUUUCAUCCUCAGACCAGGCUGCCUCUCCAACUGGUCGCACUCUACUGGGAAUGUAGGAGGACAGCCAGCCGCCUCUGACGUUAGAGGACAGAGCAGCAGAUGACAUGUGCAAAUAGGAGUGGGCGGCUGAAUGAAGCUUGCAUCUCUAAAAUUGCAGGGGAAACAUAGAUGGAGAGGAUUGAAAACACAGAGAGCCACAAUGGCUUCCUAACCUUGGAGAACAAAAGAAACGCAGCAACAGCCUCUUGAGCUUGCAGUUCCUUGGGUUUAGUAGCCAAGGUCAAUUACCUCCACCUGAAGAAUAAAAAAUAUUCUGAUACACACACACACACACACUAGCUGCAGCCUGUGGCAUGAAUUCAUCUGUGAGCAUGUCCUCAAUAUCGUCUGUUCUUCUGGGUGAUCCGACCAAAACUAUGCAAUGGAACAUGAGAGUGCCAUAAACCUGUCUGUCAGAUCAUUAACAUCCAAACCGCUUUCAUGAGAAAACUUUAUUGGACAAAAAGCUUUGGAUAAGACUGCAAGAAAACUUCUAUUCACUUUCAGGAUAUUCCAUCGCAGACGAAGUACAAAUUGUACAAACCCUUUUUUUGAUAUGCCGAAUGUCGUUUUCUGUGGAUUUAAAUGUUUUUAUCACUAAUGCAUUGAAAUGGGACUGCUAUUUCUGGAGCUGGUCAAGGUAGAGUUCAUUUAAACUAAUGGAGCACAGCCUGCAAGCUUGCUCAGGCAAGCUGCACUUUCAUGCUCACUCUCCUCACAUUAUAUGCCAAAACACUCCCCACCUAACACCCUGCACUCCCCCUUCUCUUUAGUGGUCUGCGUUAUUCUCCCAUUUCUCCCUUUGACAGCUCAUUGCUGCUGCCCAGCAUUGCUGGCUGAUCUUUGGUCUUCCCACCACCAUGAUGUUGUUUGCACAUCACUCCCCACCUUCUAUAUGUAAUGUGAUGAGCUCAGAGUCUGUACACCAAACUCUAACCCUAUUCUACUUUAGUAAUAAAGAAUUUCAAAUGUGAGUGGUCCGACUGACCUUUAGUAAGUGGGAAUAAGCUGAAAGUUGAGAUCUAAAAUUAAAACAGACAGAGCAGUAAGAAUAUUUCAGUUUUCUUUCAAAUCAGCUAAUCAGAGCAAUCUGUAAAAAACUGUAUCAUGUACCCAUUUUAAAUAAAAACAAUUUUAAAUCUCUUUAAGAAGCCAGUUACUGUCUAUAAUCUCUGUAGAGGAUAAUCUUGCUUUGCUAAAUAAUGCAUUAAAAGCUAAUAAUCUGGCAUGUAUAAAAACAGAUGCGACACACACUGCUGCUACCAGCCUGUCUUCUGCAUGGUUAAACAGUGCGAUGCUUUUCAUAGGGAAUCCUGGGACCUCUGACCUAAUUUUUGUGACUCUCUCAAUGAGCUGUGACAUUUUGGCUGUGAACAUUUUAGAAAAUGAACUCUGACAGGUCAGACAAGAACACGGGUUUCCAGUUGCAUUCUGCUCAAAAGCCAAUGCCACCCGUCAAGUCAGGUGCAUGAGUGUAUGAAUAGCUCAGUUUUCUUUUCUCGUCAUUACCUUCCUGCAGAAGCAGAGGGGAAUCAAUAGUUUCAUAGGCAAUAGAGGCUUCACCAUAACAUGGUAGAAAAGAGGUCCAAGUCCAUUUAUGCAAAAUAUAUUAAUAUUUUGAGUGCCUUUUUUUUCAAAGAUUAUAAAAUAGGUCGUGUUGACUCAGUGAUUAAAAACAACCCAACGUUUUAUAGGAGGCCAUGCAGACUGAGAGUUUAUAAAGAGCAGAAGGACGAAAUGCCAGUCAGUCCACCUGCAGCUCAGACCAGAAUUAAUGUUUUCUUAAGAGAUGAGCAGCAAAGCUCCACUGAGACCAGGAACAAUGAAAGGUCAUCAUGUGUUAAGGACCAGCCACUGCACAGCCGUGUUAUUUCUCAAGUGUUUCCGGAUCUGCUCUGAGAGAGUCGUUGUUAAGCUACGCAGCGCCGUCAUUGCAGGUAGAGCUGCUGAUUGCUGGCAGGGCUUUUAAUAGGUUUCCCUCUGAGGUGCUGAAGCUCAUUACUCGUCUCUGUUGCUAUAAACCUCCACGCUGUCGUACAUCUGUUUUUGAGAUCACAUCAGUGGAAAUGAGAAGGUUUUCAUCCACAUUUCCAUUCAUAAAUACAAGCUACUUUGCUAAUUGGUAGCUCUAAAAUAACUUGUGAGAUGGCUUCACAUACAUUCACCAGUAUGCAGAAAUGUACACAAACUCGGUGACCCGCUGAAAGCCCAUCCCCCGGUUGCUGUUUCUCUUUGCUCAGAAAUACCAACUACCAGGCUCAGCCAUCUGUGACUCUCUGAACCUACUGACCUUGCGGAAAAGCAGAUCCUUGAAUUAUACUAAUGCAUUUGGCUGAACCUUUUCCUCCUGAGGAUCAGUUAUCAGACUCACUGUGCUUAGCUGUGUUUUGGCGCCACUUCCCCUCCAUUCAAAUCCCUUUACCGCCGUACACGUGCAUCUGAGAGAAACGCUCCACAGAUCGUUAUUUAUCCUCAUUGGAUAAAUAUAUGACUUUCCCUUCCAGGUCCGUACAGUAUGUUCAUUAUGCAUGCCAUAGUGCUGUUGCCCUUUGCAAAUGUGCUUCGCUGUUUCCAGGUGUUGAUCUUUGCAAAAGGGAAGCAUAAUCAGAGGAGUGCGCAUAAAGAUAUUUAUCACAGGGGAAGUUGAGAAGGUGUAUCUGGAAAAAUAACACACAUUCUAACUGCAUCACGUUUCACUGACUAUAUGAAAAUACCACAGAGAGGAUGGGCUUAACUCUGGCCGCCCAACACAGUUUGAAAUCAUAAGCAGAGGCUCAUUUAACAACUAUAACAGGGGAAAUUUAGUGCUUUCAGGGAAACGAAAAUAUAUCAUUCAAAAUCCCAGAGACCUAGAGGAAAGAAGAUUAAUUGCAGGAUAAAUUGUUGUAAUGCUGAAUAUCCCUGACUGGCUUAGUUUGUGGCUAUACAUAAUUACCCGCGUGGCCUUCAAACUGUUAAACUGAGAUCUGCUGAGCAAACAAUACUGAGUGGAUUUCGCCCUUUGAAAGGUAAUGGACCAGGAGAGGGCUCAGGCUAAAAUUAGUUACUGUAACGGUGUUUUAUCCUGACAAUGAGCUUUCUGCCCAAAGUUCACACAACACCUCACCACUGCCUCCCUCCUCCCUGUCACCACUACUCUUUAGGCUGUUGGCAGAUUCAUUUGCGCUUGACCUAGUUAAUGUCUCUGGAGAAAUGGAGGAGUAAACACACACAUGCAAAUGCUCCACUCCAGAAAACCUGGAAUUUUCCAUUCUUCCACACCCAGUCCACAAGCCAGACCACGGGAGGAACAUUUUGGGCAUGUGAUGCACUGCACGUAACAGCCUGAUAACAUAUUGACAACACCAAGCCUAGUAGUGAGGUCACCUGUAGUAGUGAGGUCAUCUUCUGAAUUACCUCCAAAAUGCAUUUGAUAUUUACUUGAUUGUCUCUUGAAAAUGUUUAAGGUUUCAAUUAUUUUAAACUACAGUAGAGUGAAACUGAGGUUCAUAUUAUUCUUCAGGCAUGCUAGAUUUCAUUUGAGUAUGCCUCUAGUGGGAACUCUUUAAAAAAAAAGUCAAGGUAAAAUAAGGAGCGCGUGUAUAAUAUGUGCAAUGUAACUGGAGACUAGAUUUCCCUGGUAAAACAAUUUGAUCAAAUUAACAAUGACUAAUAAAAUGAGAGCAAAAGCUAUCUCAGCUUUUCUUCAGUUGUUUUCUUUUGUUUACUGCCAUCAUUUCUAUCCACCGAAAAGCAUCCUGCAGAUGGCAGGUCUGGCUGUAAAUAGAUAUGACACCCAACAUCUGCCCAAUAUUUGCAUUUUCAUGAAAACUGGUCUGAUGGGGUUAUAUUUUCGUGUCCGUAUCAAGUAAGCGCUGUUUAAUUGUUCCGCCCAGAUAACUGCCCAUUCUUCUCUUUGAUAUGCCCAUGGAAUUAUGGGAAAUUCAAACGUUUAGCAACUCCAAUAACAUGGCUGGCAAUAUUUUACUUGUGUGUCUUGUGAGUCUGUGUGUCCUCAUGGCAAAAUCUGCUUCUGGUAACACCCACUGCAGUAGGGACACCUCAACGAUAUUCACUGCAACAGCACAAUAGUUUUGCAUCUGUACAUUCGCAUAGAAUGAAAUAGAUUGUGUUGCAGAGAUCAAACUGUAGUUCAAAGUUGUGUGCACUUCUAUACAUGUGUACUGAGUAAAGAGCUGCAAUGUAAAGGGACCAAGGGGCUUAUUAUCUCCCACAAAUCUGUCAACUACGGUGUCAGAAAAUUGGUGUUUAUUAAGUGUUGGGUUAAAAUGGACUGAUUCUUUUAUAGUGCAUUUCUACUUGAUCACAUGCCUCAUUCAUCCAAGCAAUUUUUCUUUGCCCGAGUGCUUUCUAUCUAACAUUCCCACUCUGUUAAACUCAUGGGAAAGCAAUUUAAGACUCAGUAUCUUGCACAACAAUACUUUGACAUGCAGAUGGGAGCAGCCAAGGAUUAAACUACUAGCCUUCCGAUUAAUAGAUGAUCUGCUCUACCUAAUGGGCUACAGACACCCCAUAAAAUAAAAGCACAAGAUUUAGUGUGACUAGUCCUAAUCUCAGCGCUACAAUGUCAGCGCUUACUUUUAUACUAGUUCUGAGCUGUUGUUAUUAUUGUUAAAUACAAUAGCAGGAAAAACACAAAUAGCUCAGUAAGUCAUAAUGGUGUCACAGUGAGCCGGCAUAAACAAUACUGGGACACUAAAAAUGAUGCACAGCAAUAACUUUCUUAUGUGAAAUGUAAAACGAUCUAACAUACACACUUACAAAACACUUUAAUAUAUACAUACUAGUAUCCAGUAGCACUGAGUUGAGAUUUUAUGUGCAUCAAAUAACAAGAUGAAAAAUUUAUAAGCUGUAAAAUUUAGACUCUGUGCUUAUGUGCUUGUGUACGCUGCCUCUCUCUAUCUGUCAUUACUAAUGCAGAUGCCUGAUUUGAUCUGAUUUAACCUGUGCUUUACCUGCAACGACUGUUUUUGUGUUCUGUUAUAAUGCAUCACUGCGUCUCUUAAUUUAGAAAUAAUUAUCUGUAGACUGUAGAGUCUUCAGCUAAAAUCCAUUGUAUGGGCACAGAAGACAGGAAAGACUGACAAAUGGAUACAGUGCAAACUCUUAUGUGGAUAAAUUAAGUUUCUGGGGGUCAUAAGAACUUUUUAAAGUAAACACUGAGUCACGGGCAUGGAGAUUUAGUCUAAAGAAAAAUGUCACCCUGUUCGCUAUCUGCUGCAACUGGCAGCUAAAAAUUGCCAUCUGGCUCAUUCAGCACACUCUUGAGUAUAUUUCUUGAGUGUUACUGCUUUCUGAAGCACAUAAUGUGUUAACA